UUGCUUUCACCUAAUAAUAACUUUUUAUGGAUGAAAUAGAGAAAAGAGAGAGGAGAGAAAGUGAGAGAUAGAGGGAGAGUCACAGAGAGGUUAUAUCUCAAGUGCUCCAUUUUAAUGCACUCUGCAUUUUUAUCCUCUCAUCAGUGAUGACCAAACUCAGUUCACUGAGAUAUAAUGUUGUUUUUUCUUUAUGUAUAUAUUGUUGUAAUAAAUAAUCAAAAAUAAUCAUACUGCAUUUUAUAUAUAGGCAUCUUUCAAAGCACUCAAGGUCAACUCACAAGUUGAGGUUCAUUGAGAUAUAAGUAAAUCAGCACUGAUGCUGGGCUGUCAACAUGAAGCAAACUCAAUGAAAAAGAAAUGACAUACAUAUGUAGGUUUUUAUUUUUUAACCCUUUACCAGAUUGUUGGUGCCAUACAGUGUCCACUUUAGAGUGUGCAUCAUAAAUGCAUUAUUUUAAUAACAUUGGUUGAAACUCUGGUUAUGUUAAUAGUUUUGUUAAACAGUUAUAAAAUCAUACUCAAGUUGAUUUGAUGGUUUAGAGUGCAGAAAACUUUCUCUGUUGUUACUGUGGUACAUAAAAAUUGGUUUGUGGUUCCAUAAUCUAUUAGUUUACCAUAUCAAAAAGUAUUUGGUAAAUCUAUAAUCUAUAACAGUAAUAAAUUGAUUGUUUUUGAAUGACUCAAUAUUGUAGUUCCAUGUGCCCUCCUCAACUUUGAUCACUUGCCCCUCUAAUGGUCUCACUAACACAUGGCAGAGUUAAACCGUCAGUGAGAACAUCAAACAGACUAUUGGAUCUAUUUAGGACAUAUAACAAUAUUUCUUUGUCAGUAUUUUUUUCACUUCUGCAUCCUGAGAAAUCUUAGUUGGAACUGUAACAGAGAUGGAGGCGUACAGAGGAGAGAAAGAAGAACACAAAGACUGAUGACUCUUUCAUUUGGUUAGACUGCAACGGCACUGUUUUAAAGUUCUGCUGUCAACACACUGAUGCACUUUUAUAUUGAUUUCACAACAGUGAGAGUAAUAUUGGUAACCUAUUGUGUGACAUUAUAUUGUGUCCUUGUGAUGCAGAAGCACUAAAGGCAAACACACAGCAGGAUCUUCACAUAUCCACACAAAGACUUGCUCAUAUACACAGCUUUGCCUGCUUCACCUGCUCAGCAUGACCGGCUAUCAUGCGCCCAGGAGCUGCAGAAGUACACAACCAAAGAAGUCUGUCUGGACCAUACUGCUCCUCUCAAUUUAUGGCCUGAGGAAGCUUGGAUAGUCAUGGUGUCCACACUGGAAGUAUUUCAGCUGCAAAGAAAUCUUUGGAAACAAACUUCUGGGGAGCUGCCACCAGUAAAAGUAUUGUUUCUUUCUUUUAAUUCAAUUUAAUGCAGAGAAUAGAAGUGUCCCUCGGCAACACUCGUCUCUUUGAAAAUCGCGUGGGCAUAUCUGGCACUGCUAUAAUAGUUUGGCCAUAGGUUAAGCCUGGAAUGGGAAAAAAACACCUUCUUUUUGCACAGCCAGCCGCUGCACUUGAAGCUGAAGAAGUCAAGAUUUUAAAAAAAGAGUUAUCCACAGAGGCUGGAGCUAUUAUAUAGUGUGAAAUAUAGCAUUACUGGCCAAGAGUUGGAGAGAUUUGAAAUAAUAGCUGCAGCAGGUGCUCAGAUAAUCGGCACCUAUUCUGUAGCCAUAUCAGGUCAUUGUAAGAUCUGAGGAGUGUGAUGCUGCAACGUGUAUCCAUUAUUUGAACACACUAUAUAUACAGAGCAUCAUAUCUUGCAUUAUACACUUACAACCUUUGAUCCUUUAAGCCCAUAAUCCCCAGGUAAGUUGCAGUUUGGUUCUCUGGGAAGCAAACUUGGAUGCAGCAUGUGUCAUUUCAUGUCUGAGUGCACAUGUUUCCUGUUACUUUGACUUUAUCUGUGAAAAGGAAGGUCCGUGAUUGCAUCUGUGCUUCUCUCCCAGAGGGAUUACUGACCUACAGGCUCUCUAGGAAACAUCAUUUUUUAUUCCAGUCCCAGUUGUUGGUUGCGCUGGCAUCCCAUGAUCAAACACAUUUUGUACACUGUGUACCAGGUUUUUUUUUCUUUUCUAGCUGAGGCCAAAAAUGGAAAUCUCAUACCAGUUAGAAAUUGCCAAUAAAGCAAUGCCAGUUACCUGUUAAACAAAACAAAAGACAUUUCUUUUAGUAUUGGCCCGUGUUGGGAGUUUGGUGUUCCUGUGCAGCACAUAUUCGUGUGGAAUUGGCAGAAUAGAGCAGCACUUGAACUCUUGGUUAUUGUUUGAAUUUAUCACAUUCAAAUUGUCCAAAAAAUGUUCUAGCUCAUUUUUUUUUUUUUGCAGAAUAUUGGCCUUUUCAAUCUCAGUGCAGGUUUUUUUCUUGCUUUCCUUUAGCCUAUCUUUACAGCUCCAUCUGACUGAAACUUGUCGAAGAGUUCAGAAUCUUUAAUCAAACUAUGACCGUGUAGCUCCACUUAAUUGUGCAUGCAAACAUACAGAGUUUCUUUCAAGUUCAUUCUAAUUCAGCUUGUGGGAGGCAUUGAUGCCGACUAAUGCCUUUCUUGUGCUGAGUCAUUCAUGCAUAUUAUGCACCUUGUUAUCAUUCUUUCCCCUCUGUAAGUUAGUUCAGGGGUCACAUUUUCACCAUUUUUACUAUCUUUCACCUCAUUCUUUUCAAAGAAAUAAUGAAGUCUUUUGCUGCUGCCUCUGGUUACAAAACUUGACAGCAUUCAGAUCCUUUUUGUUUAUCCUGUUCCACUGUGGUGAUUUGACAUGUUUGGGUAAAAGUAAAACAAAAUCAGGUGCAUUGCUGUACUGUGCUUGUGUACACAUACAACCCCAAUUCUUAUGAAGUUGAGAUUUUGUGAAGACAUAAAUAAGAACAUAAAAUCAUGAUUUUAAAAUCAUUUUCCACCUAUAUUCAAUCAAAUACACUACAAAGACAAGAUAUUCAAUGUUCAAACUGAUAAACUUUAUUUAUUUUUGCAAAUAUUUACUUGUUUUUGAACUUGGCGCUGCAACAUAUUUAAAAAAAAAGUUGGGACAGGGUCAAAAAAAGUCUGAGAAAAUUGAGGAGUGCUCCAAAAACACCUGUUUGGAUCAGGUGAGUGCCAUGAUUGGGAAUAAAAGGAGCAUCCCUGAAAGGUUCAGUCUUUUACAAAUAAGGAUGGGGCCAGGUUCACCACUUUGUCAACAACUGCGUGAGCAAAUAGUCCAACAGUUUAAGAAAAAAAAAAAUUCCCCCAUGGGGGAUCAAUAAAGAAAUAUUCUAUUCUAUUCUAUUCUAUUCUAUUCUAUUCUAUUCUAUUCUAUUCUAGAACGUUUCUCAACUGACAAUUGCAAGAAUUUAGGGAUUUCUUCAUCUAAAGUCCAUGAUACAAACAAAAGAUUUAGAGAAAUCUCUGCAUGUAAGCAGCAAGGCUCAAAACCAACAUUGAAAACCCAUGAGCUUUGACCCCUUAGGUGGCACUGCAUUAAAAAACCCCAUCAUUCUGUAGAGGAUUUUACCACGUAGGCUUUGACAGACUUCAGCAAACCAUCAUCAGUGAGCACAGUUCAUCUCUACAUCUACAUGCAAAGGCAGAUAUCAACAAGAAAAGGAUUUUUUUAAUCAUGAAAACCAGUUUCAAUCAACAUUACACUUCAUAUCAGUGGCAUUUCAUUCAUCAUAAACCAGUAGCCUAGAACCAGAGGCGGCCUAAGGCAUAAGCGAAUAGGGGGCCCCCAAGAGCAAUUAAAAAAAUUAUAAUUUUUAAAUAUUUUUAUUUUUUGCAUGUAUGAGUGAUGCCGAUAUGUCAAAGCUCCGCUACCGUUAUGUGCCUUUUGCUGUGCAAUAUGCACUGAGCAUCCAAAGCACAGGUAGUUGUGGGGCAAAACAAUGUUGCAAAAAAGGACGUAUCCUUCAGGAGCAAAAUGAAGAAAGAGGAAGAGGAGAAAAAAACGCCAAGAUAAAGGUAUGUUUGCAUGUCAUGGAAUGUUAAUCAAAGAGAUUAGUGAAGGUUUUUGAAUUAUUAACAAUCAACAUUACUGGCAGAAAUAAUGGGCCCGAAAAUCUAAUUUUGCUUCAGGCCUCAUUGAGGUUUGGGCCAGCUCUGUCUAGAACAGGAGGUAUGUUCAGGUCUCAGUCCACCAGAUACAGAACACCCUAAACAUAAACUAACUCUGUCCAGCUUGAGCCAGUCUGCUGUUGUUUUUAACAAGCAAACCAAAUCUCCAUGAAUGACAACACUGUGCACAUCAAAUUGACCAAACAGCAGCCCAGCCCAUCACAACCGCGCAGACAUCGCUGUGAAUUUACACCCAUGUGUUCCCUGCAAACCCACUCGUGUGUAACUUAAUGCCAGCUUGAGUGGGGAUCCAGCCAAACAGAGUGUGUGUUUCACUCCAGCAGCCGUAAACACAGACCGCUCGUUCCCCAAUUUCAUUUUCUAAAAACUAUCGAUCCCCUUGAUCCCCAUGAGGCCAUGUGAGCAAUCCAUCAGAAGUCAUUCAGGUUAUUCAGCCCAAAUUGCAAUUGAUCUUUUUAAAAAGUUGACUGCAGGAUGCCAGGGAGUAAAGGACGUCUUUUCCAGCUCAAGGAGAGCUGCUUAAGUGAGUAAUAUAGCAGGGACUCAUGCUCCAUCAAGUGAGCACCUCCUCAAUUAGAGUUAAGCUGCGACAUCAAUGGGAUCAUAGAGGAGGAUUUGACUGCUCUUCUCCUUUCCCUCCGCUCUAAUGGGAUGGUCUUGUGGUGCCCAUUCUGUGCAUGCAGGCUUUUUACACACAGCCGAUAAAAACUGAUGUAGAGGAGGCCUUUCAUUGGUCUUUGGCAUUUACAAGGACAUUCGGAGGAUCAUUUGUCUUAAGAUGUACUCAUCUGUCCGCAUUCAAACCAAGGUAUCCAUUACCUUACCGAGUUUUGUGCUUAAAGAUGAGAUAGCUUUAAAGACGGGGUAUCAUGCUUUUUUACAGACUCUAUACUUCUUUUCUUAUACCUUAUACUACUUUUUAGAUCACACAGGUAUAUUAAAAUACUAUGAUAUGUGUUCGGAUAAAAAGUAAAGAAAACAUGCACCUUCAAAUAUGUAAGUAAAGUGAGUACUGUCACCUCAAAGUAAUGCAUCAUUCAUUGGUGUCUAGUCUCAGUUUUACUGUAAAUAGCAUGUUACACUGCAGCUUCACUCAGUUUUACUUCUGCUUUUAUACCCCAAAUUAAAAUAAAGUAUUUUGAGUCUGAUUCUGAUAACUUUUUGAUGAUGUUAAGUUAAUGAUUUUGCAUUAUUUGGGGCAUGGUCGACAUUAGCUAUGAGGCCAUCCCUGUGAAAAGGCCUCAAAACUGUCACUCAGAAUCAUUGGAUGACGCCACUUAGAUAACAACUGUGUUUUAAACAGUCUAUAAAAACUGCGUUGUUGGGUCUUCCUCAUGUCUCCUCUAUAGAAAAGUUACCUUUCUAUCUAUUCAACCAUUUCUCAUUAAAAUUUGAUUUAGUUUAUCAAAUUGAUCUUUAGACUAAUUCAGUACAAUAAAAGAUCUAAAAGUAAUCUAUUUAACUUUUUAAGAGGGUAUUGGUGCUAAACGUAAUGAGGAAUGUCAUUCCAGUAAUUAGAGAUGUUUUGGCAGUUCAGUCUCUUGUGAAUUUAGCUAAAAUUAGAAACACCAGGGUCCAGGGAAAGAUAAAAGUUUUGAGUUCUCUAUGGCACUGCUCAAAUUAUCUUAAAAGAUUAUGUAGAUAUAAAACAUGAUUUGAUAAUUACACGCUUUUAGUCUUUGUUAAUUAUGAAAUAAACACCGUUCUCACUGACUGGAACACAUCAUUUUCAAACCAGGGCUUUGGGUGAAGAAGAAAAAAAAAAAUCACAGCAGCAAUUUAUCCCAGAUUAAAGUUUUAUGCUUUUUGUCUGGGAUUGUCUGAUGGAUCCAGCUGACUGCACAGGUUCGAUCAGGCUGGCAAAAUAAAACACCUCAGGGAGGGUAGAAAAGGGAUCAGCCAAGAGUAACAGGACGGAGGGUCAU